rnacentral:rRNA from 1 species
GUGGCAACACAUAGAUGUGGCGAACGGGUGAGUAACACGUGGGAACGUACCCUCUGCAGGGGGAUAACUGACCGAAAGGACAGCUAAUACCGCAUAAGACCGAUAGGAGAAAGGUGCAACAGCAUCGGCUAAGGAGCGGCCCGCGGACCAUCAGCUAGUUGGUGGGGUAAGAGCCUACCAAGGCAACGACGGAUAGCCGGCGUGAGAGCGUGGCCGGCCACAAGGACACUGAGAUACGGGUCCUACUCCUACGGGAGGCAGCAGUGCGGAAUUUUAGAUAAUGGAGGCAACUCUGAUCUAGCGACGCCCCGUGCAGGAAGAAGGUCUUCGGAUUGUAAACUGCUGUGGUAAGGGAAAAAUGCCAUGUAGAGUGGAAAGCUACAUGGAGGGAUGGUACUUUACUAGAAAGCCCCGGCUAACUAC